GCCAUGUGCUGUGGUGGGUGCCUAUAGUCCCAGCUUCCCUGGAGGCCAAGUGGGAGGACCACUCGAGCCCAGGAGUCCAGGUCCAGCCUGGGCAACAUAGUGAGAACUCAUCU
rnacentral:sRNA from 1 species